AACACAUGCAAGUCGAGGGGCAGCAGGCCUUUUCUUCGGAAAAGGUGCUGGCGACCGGCGAACGGGUGAGUAACACGUAGCUAACCUACCCCGAGGAUGGGGAUAACCCUCCGAAAGGGGGUGCUAAUACCCAAUAACAGAGUCCUAUGUAAUGAUGGGACUCCAAAAGGCCUACGGGCGCCUCGGGAUGCGGGCUGCGUCCCAUCAUGUAGUUGGUGAGGUAAUGGCUCACCAAGGCUACGACGGGUAGCCGGCCUGAGAGGGUGGCCGGCCACAGUGGGACUGAGACACGGCCCGCACCCCUACGGGGGGCAGCAGUGGGGAAUAUUGGGCAAUGGCCGAAAGGCUGACCCAGCGACGCCGCGUGGUGGAAGAAGCCCUUCGGGGUGUAAACACCUGUCAGGGGGGAAGAUAAUGACGGUACCCCCAGAGGAAGGGACGGCUAACUACGUGCCAGCAGCCGCGGUAAUACGUAGGUCCCGAACGUUGCGCGAAAUUACUGGGCGUAAAGGGUCCGUAGGCGGUCUGGUAAGUGGAAGGUGAAAGCCCGGGGCUCAACUCCGGAAUUGCCUUCCAAACUGCCGGACUUGAGGCAGGGAGAGGUCGGCGGAAUUCCCGGUGUAGCGGUGAAAUGCGUGAUACGGGAGGAACACCAGUGGCGAAGGCGGCCGACUGGAACUGACCUGACGCUGAGGGACGAAAGCCAGGGGAGCGAACCGGAUUAGAUACCCGGGUAGUCCUGGCCGUAAACGAUGGGUGCUAGAUGUGGGUGCCGAUAGGCAUCGUGGUCGCAAGCUAACGCGUUAAGCACCCCGC
rnacentral:rRNA from 1 species